CAAUAGCGUAUAUUUAAGUUGUUGCAGUUAAAAAGCUCGUAGUUGGAUUUCUGCUGAGAACGACCGGUCCGCCCUUUGGGUGUGUAUCUGGCUCUUUCUUGGCAUCUUCUUGGUGAACGUUGCUGCACUUGACUGUGUGGAGCGCUACCCAGGACUUUUACUUUGAGGAAAUUAGAGUGUUUCAAGCAGGCAUACGCCUUGAAUACAUUAGCAUGGAAUAAUAAGAUAGGACCUCGGUUCUAUUUUGUUGGUUUCUAGAGCUGAGGUAAUGAUUAAUAGGGAUAGUUGGGGGCAUUCGUAUUUAACUGUCAGAGGUGAAAUUCUUGGAUUUGUUAAAGACGGGCUACUGCGAANGNAUUUGCNAAGGAUGUUUNCAUUG
rnacentral:rRNA from 1 species